rnacentral:lncRNA from 1 species
GCCAUUUUCGAGUGAUGCCUGAUCUCAUCAAUCUAGCGGGAGAGACAGGAUAACCUGUCCGAGAGUAUAGCGCCACUAUGACUCCGCCGGAAAAAUUACUUUAAAAAUCGCCAAAAAUUACUUGGAGCAAAGGGCAGUCGGCGGAGCUUCGCCAAGGCUGGCGCAGUCGGUUUUGACCUGUAGCAGAGAACCAAUUCUGGAGAACAGCCUCACUUCUUUGAUUGAAUACUUACAUAAUGCAUUGGAACAUGACAUGAGAUUAAGGUUUAAUAAUGAUAGAAUGAAGACCACAAUAAAAGAGACCUCUACUUAGCUCAGCAAUUCUUACCUUUCUUACCUAUUUGAUGAAGAUGUCUUUUGAAAGGUGUACUGCAAGGAACAAAAUGUUUGUAAAUUCUCCUUUUACCAAGGUAAAGAUCAAAUUUUAUAAAUUUACUUGUUUGUUUAUACAAGGAAAAAUAACUUCAUAUAUUGAAUAUAUUCAAAAGUUUAAGCAUUUAGUUGUAUUGCCCUGUUAAGUUGGCAUAGCAAAUAAAUGCUUUUCUUUUCCUCAUUUUAUUCUUUGUGUUUCCUAACCUAUAGCACUGUGCUGGGCACAGAAUGGACUUCAGUUAAGUUUUUGAUGUAGAAAUGUUUUAUUAUUCUACUUAAAAUCUCCUUAAAAAUAAUUAUGCAUAUUACAUCAAUGUUAUAAUGUUUAAACAUAGAUUUUUUUACAUGCAUUCUUUUUUUCCUGAAAGAAAAUAUUUUUUAUAUUCUUUAGGCGCGAAUGUGUGUUUAAAAAAAAUAAAACCUUGGAGUAAA